GAGCUUGGUUUGGUGAUCAAUAGCUAUUUUCUUUUUGCUUUUGAUUUGGAUUACUAUUGAACAAUCAUUGGCGUGUGGUCUGUGGAUUGUUUGUACUGGCUUUUGGUCGAAGUCCAUUCAAGAUUUCGAGUUCUGGUUUCGCUCAUGGACAGAUCCGCGUUUCCUCACCACUGUUACUUGUUGUUCCGUCGAGUUUCCCGUUGAACGUCCAAAAGUAGGAUCCAAACUUCUAUUUUGAUAAAACUCCGUCAAGGUUCAUUUCUCACUUUCCCUAUGUGAUU
rnacentral:lncRNA from 1 species